UCUGGCUGGUGUUCGGCUUCUCAGCCUCAGUCCCCACCACACAGAACAGCAAUGGUGGGUGGGAGCAGGGCCUGGCACUCACCCAGACUCCGCCACCAUGCUCCAGAGCAGCCAAAUCAAGGGCAGAUUCUCAGAACAAUUUCCACAGAACCGAGCCCAGAGGUUCCAGUGCAAGAACCCAGGCUCUCCCAAAGCAUUGUUCUCAUCCCUGGCCAGUGGGCUCCAAGGUCUCCUCAGCCAGUUUCCCCAGAAUGCCAGAACCCCAGAGGAGAUGCCAGAACAUUCCUUACAGCUCACUACGCAAGCCAGCGUGAAUGAUGGCCCUGGAGGAAGCCGCUGAGCCCUCAGAACAGCAGGUCAUCCUGAGUCCAGCAUGGAGCCCUUGGAGCCGCAGGUCCGCCUGAGUCCAGCAUGGAGAAUGAGGCACUCCUUCAUCCCUGCUUCCUGGACUUUCCAUGGAGGUCACACUUCUGGUGAAGGGAGAGCCACCACCCUGUCACCACGAUUCCAGUGGGCCAGGCCACUGCCCCCAAUUCCAAGGCAAGAAGCAAAUGUCAGGGGCCAGGGCCAGAGCCCAACACCAGGCUCAUUCCUCUCAAGAGUCCACCCAGUGCCAAGUGAGCCCCUGCCCGGCCUGGCAUCCCAGAGCAGGGUGCUCAUCCCAUGGCACAGAUGGGAAUGCCAAAGCCCACAGAGAGGCCCUGGCCCCCCACUGCCCUGUGCCCCCACCUCCUCAUGCUCCUGAAAGACCUGGCCCGUGCCUG
rnacentral:lncRNA from 1 species